rnacentral:rRNA from 1 species
AACGAACGCUGGCGGCAGGCUUAACACAUGCAAGUCGAGCGCCCCGCAAGGGGAGCGGCAGACGGGUGAGUAACGCGUGGGAACGUACCCUUUGCUACGGAAUAGCUCCGGGAAACUGGAAUUAAUACCGUAUGUGCCCUACGGGGGAAAGAUUUAUCGGCAAAGGAUCGGCCCGCGUUGGAUUAGAUAGUUGGUGGGGUAAUGGCCUACCAAGGCGACAAUCCAUAGCUGGUCUGAGAGGAUGAUCAGCCACAUUGGGACUGAGACACGGCCCAAACUCCUACGGGAGGCAGCAGUGGGGAAUAUUGGACAAUGGGCGCAAGCCUGAUCCAGCCAUGCCGUGUGAGUGAUGAAGGCCUUAGGGUUGUAAAGCUCUUUCACCGGAGAAGAUAAUGACGGUAUCCGGAGAAGAAGCCCCGGCUAACUUCGUGCCAGCCGCCGCUGUAACAC